rnacentral:lncRNA from 1 species
AUGAAAUAGAAUUCCGAAAAUUGAACAUGAUGAAAAUUCCAAUACGAGAUGAUUUAAAAUGCUCUAUGUUUACUUGAUGCGAAGUAGUUUUCAUUGAACUGCUUGUAGAUCACAAUUUGUUUAGGUUCGUACACUUUUAAUGAAUUGACAUAUUCAAAAUCUGUAAGAAAAAACAAAAUUAGGAUAAAUCUAAUAUAAAGAGCACAUGUAAAUUAUACAAAUAUUAAUGAUUUUACGGGUUUAGAAAAAAUAAACAGUCAACUUGAUAAAAAAUUAUCAAAAAAUAAAUUACUUAGAGAGCUGNUGAUGCGAAGUAGUUUCAUUGAACUGCUUGUAGAUCACAAUUUGUUUAGGUUCGUACACUUUUAAUGAAUUGACAUAUUCAAAAUCUGAAAGAAAAAACAAAAUUAGAAUAAAUCUAAUAUAAGGAGCACAUGUAAAUUAUACAAAUAUUAAUAAUUUCACAAUGUUUAGAAAUUUACACAUUGAUUUUACGGUUUUAGAAAAAAUAAACAGUCAACUUGAUAAAAAAUUAUCAAAAAAUAAAUUACUUAGAGAGCUGUAGACGAUCUAUAAUUGCAUAAANUGACAUAUUCAAAAUCUGAAAGAAAAAACAAAAUUAGAAUAAAUCUAAUAUAAGGAGCACAUGUAAAUUAUACAAAUAUUAAUAAUUUCACAAUGUUUAGAUAUUUACACAUUGAUUUUACGGUUUUAGAAAAAAUAAACAGUCAACUUGAUAAAAAAUGAUCAAAAAAAAAAUUACUUAGAGAGCUUUAGACGGUCUAUAAUUGCAUAAUGAGCAAUUAGUUGAUAAAAAAUUGCAUAAAAAAUCUUCAAAUUGACAGGUUAUUUCCAGCAUAUGAAUUAUACACUACAGAGAUAACCCUUUAAUUUGAAGAUCANUACAGUCAACUUGAUAAAAAACUUAUCAAAAAAUAAAUUACUUAGAGUGCUGAAGACGGUCUAUAAUUGCAUAAAGUGCAAUUAUUUGAUAGAAGAUUGUAUAAAAUAUCCUCAAAUUGACAGGUUAUUUCCAGCAUUUGAUUUAUACCCGCCACAGAUAACCCUUCAAUUUGUAGAUCAAUUAAUCUAAUUGUACACAUGUUGUUCUUUUCAAAACAGAGGAUAUGUUGUUUCUUCCAUUAUCAUAUAGUCAUUACAUUAUAAAUUGCGUAAAUUGUGAUAUAAUUUAAUGCAUACCCGGAUUAGUGGUUACAAAACAACAGUUAUAGAUUGAGAUUAAAAGAAAAUCUUUAAAUUCAUAAAGCUAGUAAAUAUUAAAAACAUUUAUGGACCUAGGUAACAUUUCUAUUGUAGUAGUCAAACAUUAAAUUUACAGUGAUAAACAUUUACCUUAAUGUCAAUAUGGCUAUGUACAAUUAAGAAUGGUACAAAUUAUCAUUUGAGUGUUGGAUGCAUUGAAAUGAGAUCAUGAAAUCGAAAGGUUAUAACGAGCCUAAUGAAAUAUACUGGCUCGAUAUAACACUUCAAUUCCAACAUCUUUCAUUCUAUAAUGUUCAUAUAUCAUAGUCCUAAAUACAAAAAGGGGUCGAUUAUAUAAAUUCCAAACACUAUAUCUAACUUAAAUUCAAUUUUUUUUAUAUUAAAAUACAAUAAAAAANUGAGUGUUGGAUGCAUUGAAAGGAGAUCCUGAAAUCGAAAGGUUAUAACGAGCCUAAUGAAAUAUACUGGCUCGAUAUAACACUUCAAUUCUAACAUCUAUCAUUCUAUAAUGUUCAAAUAUCAUAGUCCUAAAUUCAACAAAGGGGUAGAUUAUACAAAUUCCAAACACUAUAUCUCACUAUAAUUCGAUACUUAAUUUAUUAAAUCACAAUAAACAGACAUAUUGAUAGCUUAUCAUUAAAUGUAUGUGAACCCUGAUAUUAAAAUGCUAAAACAACGCAUAAUUUUCAAUUUGUUCAAGUUAAACAAGUAAAUUAUUAUAAUCUAUUAUUGAUCUAAAAUGAUAAAGUCUAUUAUAAAGAAAAAGUUAAAUAUAUACUCAACAGGAUGAAAUAGAAUUCCGAAAAUUGAACAUGAUGAAAAUUCCAAAACGAGAUGAUUCAAAAUGCUCUAUGUUUACUUGAUGCGAAGUAGUUUCAUUGAACUGCUUGUAGAUCACAAUUUGUUUAGGUUCGUACACUUUUAAUGAAUUGACAUAUUCAAAAUCUGAAAGAAAAAACAAAAUUAGAAUAAAUCUAAUAUAAGGAGCACAUGUAAAUUAUACAAAUAUUAAUAAUUUCACAAUGUUUAGAAAUUUACACAUUGAUUUUACGGUUUUAGAAAAAAUAAACAGUCAACUUGAUAAAAAAUUAUCAAAAAAUAAAUUACUUAGAGAGCUGUAGACGAUCUUUAAUUGCAUAAAGAGCAAUUAGUUGAUAGAAAUUUGCAUACAAAAUCUUCAAAUUGACAGAUUAUUUCCUGCAUAUGAAUUAUACACUACAGAGAUAACCCUUUAAUUUGAAGAUCAAUUAUUUUAAUUGUACACAUGUUUUUCUUUUUAAAACAGAGGAUAUGUUGUUUCUUCCAUUAUCAUAUAGUCUUUACAUUAUAAAUUGGGUAAAUUGUGAUAAAAUUUAAUGCAUACCCGCAUAAGUGGUUAAAAAACAACAGUUAUAGAUUGAGAUUGAAAGAAACUCUUUAAAUUCAUAAAGCUAGUAAAUAUUAAAGACAAAAUUCUAAAACGAGAUGAUUCAAAAUGCUCUAUGUUUACUUGAUGCGAAGUAGUUUCAUUGAACUGCUUGUAGAUCACAAUUUGUUUAGGUUCGUACACUUUUAAUGAAUUGACAUAUUCAAAAUCUGAAAGAAAAAACAAAAUUAGAAUAAAUCUAAUAUAAGGAGCACAUGUAAAUUAUACAAAUAUUAAUAAUUUCACAAUGUUUAGAAAUUUACACAUUGAUUUUACGGUUUUAGAAAAAAAUAAACAGUCAACUUGAUAAAAAAUGAUCAAAAAAAAAAUUACUUAGAGAGCUUUAGACGGUCUAUAAUUGCAUAAAGAGCAAUUAGUUGAUAAAAAAUUGCAUAAAAAAUCUUCAAAUUGACAGGUUAUUUCCAGCAUAUGAAUUAUACACUACAGAGAUAACCCUUUAAUUUGAUGAUCAAUUAUUUUAAUUGUACACAUGUUGUUCUUUUCAAAACAGAGGAUAUGUUGUUUCUUCCAUUAUAAUAUAGUCUUUACAUUAUAAAUUGGGUAAAUUGUGAAAAAAUUUAAUGCAUACCCGCAUUAGUGGUUACAAAACAACAGUUAUAGAUUGAGAUUGAAAGAAAAUCUUUAAAUUCAUAAAGCUAGUAAAUAUUAAAGACAUUUAUGGACCUAGGUAACAUUUCUAUUGUAGUAGUCAAACAUUCAAUUUUCAGUGAUAAGCAUUUACCUUAAUGUCAAUAUAGCUAUGUACAAUUAAUUAUGGUACAAAUUAUCAUUUGAGUGUUGGAUGCAUUGAAAGGAGAUCCUGAAAUCGAAAGGUUAUAACGAGCCUAAUGAAAUAUACUGGCUCGAUAUAACACUUCAAUUCUAACAUCUAUCAUUCUAUAAUGUUCAAAUAUCAUAGUCCUAAAUUCAACAAAGGGGUAGAUUAUACAAAUUCCAAACACUAUAUCUCACUAUAAUUCGAUACUUAAUUUAUUCAAAUAUCAUAGUCCUAAAUUCAACAAAGGGGUAGAUUAUACAAAUUCCAAACACUAUAUCUCACUAUAAUUCGAUACUCAAUUUAUUAAAAUACAAUAAACAGACAUAUUGAUAGCUUAUCAUUAAAUGUAUGUGAACCCUGAUAUUAAAAUGCUAAAACAACGCAUAAUUUUCAAUUUGUUCAAGUUAAACAAGUAAAUUAUUAUAAUCUAUUAUUGAUCUAAAAUGAUAAAGUCUAUUAUAAAGAAAAGGAUGAAAUAAAAUUACUCAACAGGAUGAAAUAAAAUUCCUAAAAUUGAACAUGAUGAAAAUUCUAAAACGAGAUGAAUUCUAAAACGAGAUGAUUCAAAAUGCUCUAUGUUUACUUGAUGCGAAAUAGUUUCAUUGAACUGCUUGUAGAUCACAAUUUGUUUAGGUUCGUAAACUUUUAAUGAAUUUCGUNAACGCAUAAUUUUCAAUUUGUUCAAGUUAAACAAGUAAAUUAUUAUAAGCUAUUAUUGAUCUAAAAUGAUAAAGUCUAUUAUAAAGAAAAAGUUAAAUAUAUACUCAACAGGAUGAAAUAGAAUUCCGAAAAUUGAACAUGAUGAAAAUUCCAAAACGAGAUGAUUCAAAAUGCUCUAUGUUUACUUGAUGCGAAGUAGUUUCAUUGAACUGCUUGUAGAUCACAAUUUGUUUAGGUUCGUACACUUUUAAUGAAUAGACAUAUUCAAAAUCUGAAAGAAAAAACAAAAUUAGAAUAAAUCUAAUAUAAGGAGCACAUGUAAAUUAUACAAAUAU